GGACGAAAUCUUCUCUCCUUUUAGAAUUAUUUCUCCCACACACCUUUUUUGCCCUCUUUCACCGAGGAGGAAAGAAUAAUCUUCCAAGCGGACAGAGACAAAAAUUUCCAUUAGAUUCAUUCCUAAGCUUGCUUUGUUGCAGCAAGAUGAUCAGUCCGAGAGUGCUGGAGAGCCAAAAUUUUCCAUUAGAUUCAUUCCUAAGCUUGCUUUGUUGCAGCAAGAUGAUCAGUCUGAGAGUGCUGGCGAGAAGACAAAGCAGUAAAAACCUAUCUUAUUCAGUCAGCAAGAAGUCGGACAACUCUUUAAUAACCCAGGGUGAUCCGACCCCUUCGACGCUUUUUUCGCUGUAUACCCCCUCCAUCCUUCGGAAGUGGAAGAAAGGGUACUCUAAUUUGAAUACAUAGUAGGGCCCCAGAACGCUAAAAGGUGGGGGAACUAGAGUUGUCACGAUAUAAAAGAUAAAUAAAUAAAUGACUAUAAGGAACCAAUGACUCUCUCUUCUU
rnacentral:lncRNA from 1 species